rnacentral:lncRNA from 1 species
CUCAGGUGGAUCCACUAAGGUCCAGACUUGGUUUGAGUGCAUCGGAUCAAUUUUUAACUUCAUAUUAUCUAACCAUUUCUUAGAAUCGAUGUCAAACAUUACCUCGUCAAAGAUAUUAAGAUCAUCACCAUGACUCCUAUCUCCCAUAAGAAAUAUUUCUUUUAUUUUCUCCGUGAGCAUACCUAUGUACCUUUCAAAAAGUCAGAAGACCCUGCU